rnacentral:rRNA from 1 species
CUACGGGAUGCAGCAGUGAGGAAUAUUGCACAAUGGGGGGAACCCUGAUGCAGCAACGCCGCGUGGAGGAUGACGCAUUUCGGUGUGUAAACUCCUUUUAUAUGUCAAGAAAAUGACGGUAGCAUAUGAAUAAGCGCCGGCUAACUCCGUGCCAGCAGCCGCGGUAAUACGGAGGGCGCAAGCGUUACUCGGAAUCACUGGGCGUAAAGGACGCGUAGGCGGGUUGAAAAGUCAGGUGUGAAAGCCUACAGCUUAACUGUAGAACUGCACUUGAAACUCUCAAACUAGAGUAUGGGAGGGGCAGAUGGAAUUAGUGGUGUAGGGGUAAAAUCCGUAGAUAUCACGAGGAAUACCUAAAGCGAAGGCGAUCUGCUGGAACAUUACUGACGCUAAGGCGUGAAAGCGUGGGGAGCAAACAGGAUUAGAUACCCCCGUAGUC